CACAUGUGGAGUUGUUUAGACUAGUGAACUCAUCCAACACAUUUCCAUUAUUGACUCACGAUAUAAGGAAAGAACUACUGCAGAAAGUAGUAGAACGGUCACCAAGAAAUCAACCGACAGAUGUUUCUGGAGCACCUUUUCUUAUGCAGAGGGAACUCCAGUGGUUUAAGGUACUGGAAGCUACGAGCGAUCCUUCUUCUAAAAGGGAGAAAUUUUAGAAGAUGCUGCCAGAUAGCAUCAAUCCUACUUCAAAAAGUCGGAACUGGGAUGAUUUCGUAGAAAAUCGCAAACCAUUGCUCCAAGUGGCAGGGCAAUGGAUGAAGGAUAGAUCAGAAUCUUGUAUCCUCGUCUCGACUCUCAUCAUCACGGUAGCUUUUGCUGGGGCUUUCACAGCACCAGGAGGCAAUGACAGCAGUACAGGGAUGCCAAUCUUUUUGAAAAAGGGCUCCUUCAUGGUAUUCACAGUUGCAGACGCUCUCGCCCUCUUCUCCUCCGUCACCGCCACCUUGAUGUUCUUGGCUAUCCUAACGUCACGCUAUCUGGCAGAAGAUUUCCUCAGCUCACUGCCAACAAAGAUGAUAUUGGGCCUCACUUUUCUCUUCCUCUCAUUGGCCUUUAUGCUGGUAUUAUUCAGCUCUGCUCUUACCCUCAUCUUGAGCGAGCAACUGACGUGGAUUUACGUCCCGAUUACUUUCUUGGCUGCCAUCCCUGUCGCAUUGUUCGCAAUCCUACAUCUUCCCUUGUAUUUUGAAAUGAUGGUAUCCACCUAUUGUCCUCGCCUCUAUCAUCCCCUGAAGCUCUGGAAAUAAUGCUGGCUUAUUAGGGGACGAGGACUUUUGUGGUGAUCUUUGUUUGCACUUGCUACUGGGCGUGACUUGCGAAUAUUAUGGUGUGUACUAAUGUUUUAAGACUUUUAAAGAGUGACGUCAGCCAUACUUAUACUAGAGUUUAAUGUAUGCACACCCCUUGUCUCAAUGUGUUAUUUGUAUGCUUCAUUGCUCUUCGUCGUAUUAAAGUGAACCUAAUUUCUCAAAGAUUCAGCAAAGUGGCCAUCGAUAUU